rnacentral:rRNA from 1 species
GCUUAACACAUGCAAGUCGAACGGGGAACAUUUAUGGAAGCUUCGGUGGAAAUAGCUUGUUCCUAGUGGCGGACGGGUGAGUAACGCGUGGGUAACCUGCCUCACACUGGGGGAUAACAGUCAGAAAUGACUGCUAAUACCGCAUAAGCGCACGGGAUUGCAUGAUCCAGUGUGAAAAACUCCGGUGGUGUGAGAUGGACCCGCGUUGGAUUAGCCAGUUGGCAGGGUAACGGCCUACCAAAGCGACGAUCCAUAGCCGGCCUGAGAGGGUGGACGGCCACAUUGGGACUGAGACACGGCCCAGACUCCUACGGGAGGCAGCAGUGGGGAAUAUUGCACAAUGGGGGAAACCCUGAUGCAGCGACGCCGCGUGAAGGAAGAAGUAUCUCGGUAUGUAAACUUCUAUCAGCAGGGAAGAAAAUGACGGUACCUGACUAAGAAGCCCCGGCUAACUACGUGCCAGCAGCCGCGGUAAUACGUAGGGGGCAAGCGUUAUCCGGAUUUACUGGGUGUAAAGGGAGCGUAGACGGAGCAGCAAGUCUGAUGUGAAAGGCGGGGGCUCAACCCCCGGACUGCAUUGGAAACUGUUGAUCUUGAGUACCGGAGAGGUAAGCGGAAUUCCUAGUGUAGCGGUGAAAUGCGUAGAUAUUAGGAGGAACACCAGUGGCGAAGGCGGCUUACUGGACGGUAAC